AAUAUAUGUAUUGACCGAGAAAAUAAUAAAAUUUAAGGGAAAUACUUUAGUCCACAUAUAUAUGUCUAUAUAUAUGCAUCUAAAUUGGUGGGGGAAAUGUAGUUGUCAGAACCCAUGCAUAACAACAGGAGUCAUGUACUAUCAUGGGUCUUGAUUAACAUUCAAAAUGCAUGGAAAUUAAAUAGGCACAACAGUUAGGCUACAAAUUUCCUUGAAAGGAAAACUAGUGUGGCAGAGAACAUUUAUAUCAGUGGUAAUGUGAAGCCAUAACACAGCAAAUUCCAGGGGUACACUGAACAAAUAAAAACUUCACCCCAUAUGGCGCUCCUCCGUAAGGUGACGCGGAGCUCGCUCACCAUGGGGUUUGACCGACGCGAAGCGCCUCCGGCGGAAGAAUGUGAUGGCGCUGCUCCGCCUCAGGAUCGAAGCUUCAGAGCGCCGGCACCACCAGGGAUAUACCAAAUAUUGUAUGCAUCUUCAGAGCGCCGGCAAGCCCCUCAUCCGUUUGCAGACCCGUCUUCAUUCCAAUUGCAAUCAAGCUAAUAAAUAAGCAUGCGUCUCUUCUUUCGGUAUAGCCGUUUAAAUUGUCUGCAGUGCACGUCCAAGCCCACAAUCCUGAAAUUCAGUUUAGAUACUUCAUCAUGGAUGGCUCACGUCUAACCGAGGAACGCCAUGCAUGUAGUCCAGCCCUCCGUUUAUUUAAUCCCUCUGCCAAUGGAUUCAUCUUAUGUACCCUGUUUGCGUGGCCAGUUUGUUGAUUUUUCAGGCAAGUUACAAGUGUUUAUAAAUUGGUGAAAAUUAGUAUAAGACAACAAGGUGGGACUAUUCAACAAAAGAUAUGCAUGCAUCAUAUUUUAUAACAUAAAAUCUGAGACGUGGCUUCUAGCCCAUAAAAGGCCCAGUAGUGCAUCGUGCCAGGAGAAGGUGCUCAUACCACAUUACGUCUGAGAGGCCAGCUUGCGUACGUAAUUGAGCACGUACGAAAAUAGCUUUGCGACGGUCGGACGAAAAAUCAUAACAACGGACUAAUAGUACCACCUCAUUUAUAUUACGAUUUUGUCUAUACUAAUCGUAAAAGCGUAUUAUAACUGGGCGGAAGCGUAUUGUGACGGUGAACCCACGGAGUCAAUCCGUGCUUUAUUAUUAAAAAAAAUUAGGGAGAGACUAGUAAAAAUGCCCGUGCGUUGCACCGGGCGACAAAAGGGGGCACAACCUGUUUCAUGUGCCAUUUUGCACCAUUUUUUAUAUCCAAUUUCAAUAAAUGUCGACAGUAAUGUUGAACAUGGAAAUUUCCUUAUUUUUAAUAAAAGUUAAUGUUUUCAUUAAAAAUGUAAUACCUUUUGAAGAAUAGUUAGCAUUUUUAUGAAAAUUGGAACAUUUCUCUAUGAAUUAAUAUUUUUAUCAGGUGUUUCUUUGAAAAUAAUGUUUUUCUGUUGUACAUUUAGAAAUGGUCCUUUAGUAAAAAAAAAGUGAUUUUCGGUGGAAUUAUUAAGUGUUGUUAAAAAGUAUAAACAUAUAUAUUUGAAAUGUUUUAAACUUUUUUAUGUGUUAAAUUUUUAUGCUGUUUAUACUUAAGGACAUGCCAGCUUGAGAAGGAACUUCCUUGAACAGAAGAUUAUGGCGUCACGGCAACAAAGAAAAUCAAGGAAAGGCAUUAGCCGUACCUGACGACUGGGGCAGGCCAUUGAUGAUGUUAACACUACCAUAUGGGCCAAAUGGCAUCAGACACAUUACUGAAGCUGUCGAUAUAAAAAUUGGUUUUGGAAUAGCUUAAGAAAAGGCAUGUUUACAAAUGACAUUUAGACAAUGGGUUUCUUAACUUAUAUAAGCUCACCUGAUGAGAAUAGUUUGCUCCGACCGAUCUCCAUGAGGUAUCCAUAGAUUGUAUGUAAAAAAUCACAAAUUUAACAAUCCCAAAAGAAAUUAGAUAAAAUUCAAUAAAUUGCAGCAAUCUGCCAUCAGUAUUACCAAUCAAAUCAAUGUUAUAUAUCUAUUAAGAAGAAGAGAUGCACGGACGACCAAUUUGUGACUCCGAGAGACAAGAGAGCAGAUUGGCAAAAGAAAAGGAAAGCAAGAUGUGGUUCAACCUGCGAUAAGUCCAACACCACCAACGGCCUCUGCAUCCUCACAAGCUUUGCUCCAUGGCACUUCAAGAUAUGAGCCGACACUUGCCGAUGCAACUCUCCGCGACCUAACCUGCGAUAAGUCCAACACCACCAACAGCCUCUGCAUCCUCACAAGCUUUGCUCCAUGGCACUUCAAGAUAUGAGCCGACACUUGCCGAUGCAACUCUCCGCGACCUGCACACCAUCCUGUUCAAUGGGCGCUCCUCCUGGUUUAGAUUGAGGGACCGACUCUGAUUCAAUUCCUUCUCAUGUGUGCAAGUGGGAGGAAGGAGGUGAAGGGGGCAAGGGGGUGGCCGCGCAACUUCAUGGCAGCUGCUU
rnacentral:lncRNA from 1 species